rnacentral:rRNA from 1 species
CUAUACAUGCAAGUCGAGCGGACAGAUGGGAGCUUGCUCCCUGAUGUUAGCGGCGGACGGGUGAKUAACACGUGGGUAACCUGCCUGUAAGACUGGGAUAACUCCGGGAAACCGGGGCUAAUACCGGAUGGUUGUUUGRACCGCAUGGUUCAAACAUAAAAGGUGGCUUCGGCUACCACUUACAGAUGGACCCGCGGCGCAUUAGCUAGUUGGUGAGGUAACGGCUCACCAAGGCAACGAUGCGUAGCCGACCUGAGAGGGUGAUCGGCCACACUGGGACUGAGACACGGCCCAGACUCCUACGGGAGGCAGCAGUAGGGAAUCUUCCGCAAUGGACGAAAGUCUGACGGAGCAACGCCGCGUGAGUGAUGAAGGUUUUCGGAUCGUAAAGCUCUGUUGUUAGGGAAGAACAAGUACCGUUCGAAUAGGGCGGUACCUUGACGGUACCUAACCAGAAAGCCACGGCUAACUACGUGCCAGCAGCCGCGGUAAUACGUAGGUGGCAAGCGUUGUCCGGAAUUAUUGGGCGUAAAGGGCUCGCAGGCGGUUUCUUAAGUCUGAUGUGAAAGCCCCCGGCUCAACCGGGGAGGGUCAUUGGAAACUGGGGAACUUGAGUGCAGAAGAGGAGAGUGGAAUUCCACGUGUAGCGGUGAAAUGCGUAGAGAUGUGGAGGAACACCAGUGGCGAAGGCGACUCUCUGGUCUGUAACUGACGCUGAGGAGCGAAAGCGUGGGGAGCGAACAGGAUUAGAUACCCUGGUAGUCCACGCCGUAAACGAUGAGUGCUAAGUGUUAGGGGGUUUCCGCCCCUUAGUGCUGCAGCUAACGCAUUAAGCACUCCGCCUGGGGAGUACGGUCGCAAGACUGAAACUCAAAGGAAUUGACGGGGGCCCGCACAAGCGGUGGAGCAUGUGGUUUAAUUUCGAAGCAACGCGAAGAACCUUACCAGGUCUUGACAUCCUCUGACAAUCCUAGAGAUAGGACGUCCCCUUUCGGGGGGCAGAGUGACAGUGGUGCAUGGAUUGUCGUCAGCUUCGUGUCGUGAGAUGUUGGG